rnacentral:misc_RNA from 1 species
AAGCUGCGAUACGUAAUGUGAAUUGCAGAGCUCAGUGAAUCAUCGAAUCUUUGAACGCACAUUGCGCCUUCCGGCAUCCCGGGAGGCACGCCUGUCCGAGCGUCAUUACGCACCCUCAAGCCCGGCUUGUGUGAUGGGCCCUGGCGUCUCGUUCGCGAGACGGGCCCGAAAGGCAGCGGCGGCGUCGACCCGAUGAGCCCGAGCGUAUGGGGACUUUUGUCACACGUUUGCGGUGCGGACCGGCGCCUGCUUGACUUUUCUGAUUAUCCAGGUUGACCUCGGAUCAGGUAGGGAUACCCGCUGAACUUAAGC